UCCGUGGAUGCCCCGUGGAUGAUUCGCGAAUGAUCCACGGAACUCUCUUAACGCAAAAAUGAAAAAUAGAGCAUGUUUGAAGCAAAUUGGACAGCUUAUGAGCUAUCCUUUAUCACUUUUUUAAAUUCAUUAGUCAUGUCGUUCUUGUUUAAAUAAUUUCUAAAUUUUAUAAAUUGGUUUAAGUGCGUCCGUGGAGUUUUCGUGUAUGAAUCCCCGGACACUAAAAACAUUUUUGGUUCUUUGGUAUUUCUUAGGUUAAUAAAUUUUUAAGUAUUAAUUAAUAAACCAUCGUCAAAGUUAAUUACGAGCUCAGAAAACUCAAUAUUUCCAAAUAUAUUCCGAAAUCUACACUCGCCACCUCGCCAGAAUAGCCGUGGUCGUGAUUCAAACUUUUAAAAAAGCGCGCGCACUCUCACUGGCCGCCGCGAGCCAAUGAGCGCUGCCGCUUGCCUGUUGCUGUUUGUUGACAGACGACCGCGAGCGCGCGGACGCGCGAGCCGAGCGCAACAGAAAAAAAGCCGUUGGACGACGCUACCGCGUAAUGAAUGUCAGUUUUCGGCCGCAAAUUCGCCACGAAGUCGACCAAUAAUAUUCCUAAGUUAGUGAUUGCUGUGAAAUCCGAAUCAUGUUCAACCAUCCCAGCAAAGAUGCUACAAAUCAAAGAUCUGUGCCCGCGGCUUGCUUGUGUGACAUCAAUGCAACUCGUUCAAGCUGCGUUCUGAAGCUUUGCGACCCGCGGCACUAUGUAAAUUAUUGAAAGGAUGUCUGGUUUGCAGCUGGGGUUCAAGAUCAAAACAAGCUAGCAGGCUUGUGGAUAUGCUCUGGCUGGGACAGAUCAAGCCGAGGAUGCCAAGACAAUCAUAGAUGGGAAAAGCUGCCAGCAAGAUGGAUUCCAGCCUGCACUCAACUUAUGCCGCAUUUUCCAGUCUGGAGUCUGCUGGUGCUAAUUAUUACUUGGAUGGAAUAGAAGCGACUCCGGAGCUCAAGACGAAAAGCUACAUAAUUGUGUGACAGGAUUUGGAAUUGCUGGACCACACCUUUGAGGAAGAUUGAGGGAUUCAUGUGUAUUUUUGUUUUUAAGUGAGGCUAUUUUUGAGCGAAAUUGUUGUAUUUUAUAUAGAGCAUUCAUUUUAAGGCUAAUAUCUUUGGCAUACACAUACUUGUAUUCACUGUAAUAAUGUUGGUAUUAAACUUCAAUUAAAUUCCAAACAUUAAUUUAGUGAAUACAGGUAUGUGUACAAUAAAUUUAUGUUUGAGCUGACAUUCAAUCAUUGAAUUUUCUUGCCAGAAACGUUUUGGCAGCUGAAAAUUUUAUAUUAAAUAUUUUUGAUAGCCAUUAUAGGUUUUAAAUUGGCUAUUUUUUGUGUAAGCCUUUCGAAGUCGGCGUAGCCGUAUACUUCCAAUUUAAAUUCCCAUCGACUGAGGUAAAGGAUUUAAUCCUGCUGAUGUAUUUUCUGGGUUUUAAAUGAUUUAUUUUGAUUCUGAGAACCAAAAUCAAUUCAGUCAAUCUCUGUAGAAACAUGGAAAUAAUAUUUUUAUCAAAUCUGACGUUUCGAAGGUGAUUGGCUAGACUGAUUUUUGCUUUUAGUACAUCAAAUAAAAUCAAUUAAAGGGUUUUGAAUGAAGAGCGGUAAGAUCGUGUGUCUUUAUUUUCUCAGUGGAAGUGCUUAAAAUCAAAAGUAACAGCUGGCACCAUUUUUUCGGGAGCAUUAUUACACUAAUUGUAAGGGGUUUCCGAAGCUUGUGAAUGUUAUAAUUUUUUAGCUUCCUUAAUUAAUUGUCUUCUCUUGUUUCUCAUAACCUUUAUGGACACUUCUGUAAAUUGAUAAAAUUCUCUGUAUUGAUCUAUUGUUACUGUGCAUGUGUCAUCUUUUUGUAAUCGAAAUUGUAAGUAAUAAACAAAAAUUUUAAAAUUCAAAUGAAUGAAUUUCAUUUGCGAUAUUAUUACCCGGAAAAAUGAAACACGAUCC